ACCAUGAACAAGUAUGUACUGAUUAAUCACACAUCUUUUUCACAGUGUGUCUUUUUCUUACACAGACUAUUUUCUGAAGAGUCACUGCUGAUGAAGGGCACAAGUCAUCUUGCAAGGACUUCAAUCAUCUUGCUCUGUAGAGCUUCCAGGUCAAGGAGAGACAAGGCCAUGUAAAUGUAAGUGAUUCUUAAUGAGUUCUUUACCCAUAGCUUUAUUAAGGCACAAAUAACCAUAAAAUGACUCAUUCUAUUGAUUUUGAAUCCAGCAUAAGACUUAUUUCUAAACCCUGAAGAACAGUGGUUGGGAGAAAGAACAUCUUCAACCAGGGUAGUAAUUAUUGCCAGAGUAAGUUGCCUUCAAGAGUCAUUGUCAAGUAAUCAGUAAACACAUAAGAAUAAUUGCCCAUGACUUGGGAAUGCUCCUGCCUGAGCCAUGACAGGAGGAAGGAUACCCACACUAUCCUUCCUUCUGCCCAAAAGCUCCAACUGCAUUUCACUUGAACCAUGAGAAUGCAAUUCUCCCAGUGCCAGUGGAUCAUACUCCAGCAAAUCUGCAGUCACCAGGUCAGAAAUUGCUCCUGUAGGUCAGCAAUACCAGCAGAUCACAAAAAAAACCAAACCUCAGAGCAAAUCAGAAGGGAAGGUACCAAGAUGGGGCAGGAGACCCUCCAAGAUGUUGUUCUGCCCAGGACCUUGGUGUUGGAAUACAAACCAUUCAGCAGUGUAUACUGCUAG
rnacentral:lncRNA from 1 species